UUUUUUUGAAGCAAAAACAUAAGAAAAAAAGGAAGGUGAAAAUUAUUCUGAGUUGAGACAAAUGAGUUAGCUUUUCUUUCGAGUAAAUUUUCUUUCCCUGGAGAAGGGUCGGGACUGCUUUGGAGCUUCACAGUUGCGGCAAGUUCCUCCGGUGGUGUUCAGUGGUGAUCGACAUCCUAACGUAGUUCGGUGUCCCGUUUUGCUGCUCCGUAAGAGGUAAACGUCUUUUCUUUUUUAAUUUCUAUUAUGGUUUUCUUUUUCUUCAUCUCCUUCUUUAUAAUGUCGUAAUCGUGAUAUUGUUUGCUGGAAAUAGCUGUAGAUGUCUUUAAUGACCGUAGGAAUUAGUAGAUAAUGAUUGCAUUUAAUUCGCUUUGCCUAAUCGAGGCUCAUACUACCAUGUCGUUUCUGUUAUCGAUUUUGUAUUUUUGAUUUUUGCCGUUUUGAACUCUCAUUCUACUGUUAUUGUUGUUGAUUAAUUACUAAUUUCAUUUUUAGUACAUCUGCGAGUUUUUCUAUUUUCUUUCUAUAUGAUUCAUAUUGAAUGCGUCAAUCAAUAUCUGUCUGAGACUGUUUUCUGGAGCUAGUUGAUUCUAACUUAGUGUUUAUUUUAAGUAUAGAAGUAAAACAAUGAUUUUUUUCUGCCAACUUUUCAUCAGAAUAGGUUUUACAGUAGUUGUGUUGUUCCUUCUCCUUUUUCGAUUUAUUUUAAUGUGUAUUAGGUUAGGAUCUUUACAUCUGAUUGUAUUCAACAUAGUGCCAACGUUCCGUAUAAAGUCAUCUUUUUCCUUAUUUGUGUUGUCAUCUACCAAAGAAGUCAAAAUAGGACAAAAUCGACUUUGCAUACUAUAUGUGCUGCCAACUCUAGUGUAUUUCUUAAUAUUUUUCUUGUAUUCGAUCUUUAUUAAAGCUUGCAUUUUAUCGUACCCCGCCUUAAAAGAAAUUGUCGCCUGAGAUUGCUUUUUCCAAGUCCAUCUGUUCCGAAUAUAUUUUUGUAUUGUUUAGAUCGAAUAUGUUUUCUUUCUCUCAAAUGUUUGUUUGAAAGUUGGUGUUUUUCUUAUCCCUACUCACUGGAUUCCUGCAAAGUUGGUCUUAAACUUUACUCUCCAUUCUAAAAAAUUGAUUUAUAGGUUUUCGCAUAUAUUGUUGACAAUUAUAACUACCUAAGUUUACUAUGUUGUAUAUGCCCAUUUUCCUUGGCAUUUUCAGAUCUUUGACUUUCCGUCUUUUGCUUCAUUUUGGAUCACCAUGGUUUUCUUUUCGUCUGUUGAUCUAUUAUAUUAUUUAUCGAUGUGGUAUUUGAUACUCGGGAUGUGUAUUGACCACCUUUAUUUCUUCUCUUGCAUGUGAAUCCAUUUUGGAGUCAGAAUAGAGUCUUUCCCUUUUUCUUAACAGGUCAUUGAGGCCCAACGUGUCUAUCGAAUCAAGCCCGAAAGAAAGUCCAAAAAUCAAUCUCAUAGUGUAUGGAUGCAAGGAGUCGAAAGAAAUAAAAUGGGUUAAGUCUUAUCCUCAAAGCGGCUAAGAGACUCGAAAGUCUCAUUUAUUUAUUUAUUCAUUUUUUUUGUUGUUGUUCUUAUUUAUUUUAUUUAUUUAUUUAUUCAUUUGGGACUCGAAGUCAAAGUUGUAUUUAAUACAGGUGAAGCGAGACUCGAGCCAAAAACUCGAAAACUAGAUUAAGACAGGUUUCGUUGAUUUGGGCCCAAUGGCCAAAAUCGUUUACUUUCUCCUCUCUUUCCCCUUUUAUGUGUUUGUCUUUCAUUUGUUUAGACUUAGUUAAAAAUCCCUACUAUAUCGUCAAAACUUAUUUUUACAUAAAUCUUUUCCUAAAAUCAAUCACUUUUCAACAAUCAAGCUUUUUGAAGUUAAUCAAAUGAUAUUUCCAAACAGUUCGGAUAACCACAAGUUAGCGGACGUUUUAGGUGCCUAAAACCUUCCUAAAACGUUAAUAGGGAUCGCUUACUCAGAAUCUUUAAAUUUGAACGAUUUUUUUAUUUUGAAUCGUUUAAAGUAACUUUAUAAAGGUUUCUUAAUUCCUUUUCAAAAUUUAGUGGCGAUUCUUAAAAAAAAUCAAAAUUUUCACAAAAACACCUCCCAUAAAAAGAGACAGGGAGGCUGUAAAUAAGAUUUGUCUGUUUGAUUUUCAGAAUCUCAUCUUUUGGAUUGAAUGGAUUGUUCCGGAUUCAUCCUUAAUUCUUUUUGACGCAUAUUUUACAUAUUACAACUGUCUCUUAUUUUACAUCGCAGCUAUAACUCUUUCGCAUUAAUCAUGUCCAACAAAUAUUGUCGAACAAAUUGUUUCGCAUUCAGCAGGGGAAGACUUCCUAGGUAAAUGCUAAUGUUACUCAUGUUGGGUUCAUAGAAGUGUGAAUGAAAAAUGGAAAAAAAAAUAGUGGAGAAGAGGAGACACCAAUUUGAAAAGUGUAAUUAAUUCUCCCACAUUGGUGGAAGAAGGAAACUUUGUAGUGUUUAUAAUGAUGAAUACUUACUCCACAUGAUAAGUGAGGCAAGAAAUAAGAGAUGUCUCGCGUCGUCAUCGCUCGGCUAUCUUUUUGGAUAAAUUUUAUUUGACGAAAUCUGAUCAAUACUCCAUUUAUAUGCAUACAGUAACAGAUACACUGUUUCGACUGAAUUGAUGCGCUGUGAUAUAUUGUUUCUGUUUCGACUGAACAGAUGCAAUUCUUCAAUGAAGUGAUGCACUGUUUCGAACAGUACUGCUUCAGCAAAAAUGCUGCAGACAUGCAUUUUCAGAAACAUCACACGAAUUAAGUGAACUAAUGCCACCUUUUCGAAGAGGCAUUUGCUAGGCUAUAUAAACCUGCUUUCCUUCACAGGUUUUUGAUAUGAAAUUUUCAAAAUAAAAACUCUGUUCUUUUCUUUACAAAUAUUUUGUAUGAUCAAUCAAAACGUUCUGUGCGUUCGAAGAAUCCGCCUAUUUGAGGUACCGCUAUAGUCGGAUUGAAGGUCAUUUUAUCCUGGGAGGAAGAUUCCAUAACCUUGGGUACAGUGAGGGGAAUUAUUCCUUAAGGAAAGUUCGUGAAUUCGGACGACUUGGUCUUAUUCAUUUCUGUUUCAUCUAUUUUCUAAAAAAUAAAAUACACCUCUUGGAAAGGUCAUUUUGAUCUUGUGUUGAGAGUAUUUGAUAUACUUUAUUAUGUUCUUGUUUAUAUACUUGAACUUUAGUUGAAAUUGUUGUUUUUACUAUACAGAUUUUGCGUACCCAUAGAAGGAAAAUACCAACCCAGACAAGUCUAGCCAUUUUAUCGUACACAGAAAAGGACCAAGUGCUUCUGCCCAACAUUGACGGGAGAAAUACUAAAAAGGUCAAGCCUCUAGGCACGAACAAGGUGGGGAUAAAAGCAGAAGUUGUUGAAUCUGGAUCUUCAAGUGCAGGACUGUCAAUUGAACCGCCCACCCUAUCAAAAAAAUUGUAAAAAGUCAUUCUUUCAUUUGCACCACUGUAGCAAUUAGUCAACUGUAUAGUUGUAAGCAUGAGCUAUGAGAUGAUUACUUUAUUAUUAUUAUUUAUGUGAGGAUGUAGACUUGAGUUUGUAGACAAAUGCGACCUCACCCAGGUGUGCAUCCCCAUUGCACAUUCCAGUAACUACUUCACUUCCUCCCCUAAACCUUCAUCCUACUUAUACCUCUUUUUUAAUUAGUUUUUUCCCACUAAUAUAUGAAGACUUUAUUUUUUGUAAUCAAAAAAUUCAAUUUAAAUCCUGGUAAUCAUAGGGUAAUCCAGUUAAGUUGUGUCAACUCUUUAAUUUUGAGCGGCAUUCGUAUCAUAUUCUCCGAGAACAGUAGUCCAGUCAAGUGUAUUCGGUUACUUUUACUUUGUUGUUCAAUGGUGUUGUGAUAGCUACCAAUAUUUAUGUUUAGACAAUAGACUCCAUAUGAUACCAUUUAUCAUAUAGAUCAACUGAAGCUAUUCACUUCCAUAACUCAACAUCUCUCUCUGAAAUUAUUUAUUCGGUAACUUAUGUUGGUGGACGAGGUAGCAAGUUAUCUCAUGAAGGAACAGUCAUUGAAAAUCAGGGAGCAUUAAGUAACAGAUGAUAUACAGGUUCAACAACCUUUAUAGGGCCAACUCAAUGCUCCUGUUUAGCAGCAAAUGGAUAUGCCA
rnacentral:lncRNA from 1 species